GGAAACUGGGGAACUUGAGUGCAGAAGAGGAGAGUGGAAUUCCACGUGUAGCGGUGAAAUGCGUAGAGAUGUGGAGGAACACCAGUGGCGAAGGCGACUCUCUGGUCUGUAACUGACGCUGAGGAGCGAAAGCGUGGGGAGCGAACAGGAUUAGAUACCCUGGUAGUCCACGCCGUAAACGAUGAGUGCUAAGUGUUAGGGGGUUUCCGCCCCUUAGUGCUGCAGCUAACGCAUUAAGCACUCCGCCUGGGGAGUACGGUCGCAAGACUGAAACUCAAAGGAAUUGACGGGGGCCCGCACAAGCGGUGGAGCAUGUGGUUUAAUUCGAAGCAACGCGAAGAACCUUACCAGGUCUUGACAUCCUCUGACAAUCCUAGAGAUAGGACGUCCCCUUCGGGGGCAGAGUGACAGGUGGUGCAUGGUUGUCGUCAGCUCGUGUCGUGAGAUGUUGGGUUAAGUCCCGCAACGAGCGCAACCCUUGAUCUUAGUUGCCAGCAUUCAGUUNGGCACUCUAAGGUGACUGCCGGUGACAAACCGGAGGAAGGUGGGGAUGACGUCAAAUCAUCAUGCCCCUUAUGACCUGGGCUACACACGUGCUACAAUGGACAGAACAAAGGGCAGCGAAACCGCGAGGUUAAGCCAAUCCCACAAAUCUGUUCUCAGUUCGGAUCGCAGUCUGCAACUCGACUGCGUGAAGCUGGAA
rnacentral:rRNA from 1 species